AAAGGUGUCACCACGGGGAGCCACGACGGCCGUGAGGUUGCGCGGCCACCGGAUCGCCAUGGACGAGAAGCAGAGAGAGACAGAGAGAGGAGCAUCCGAUGAGGGCUUCUAAUUUCAGGCAGGAUCCUCUACAAAGUGACAUCAUGGAUGGCUCUUGACGUCAUAUACAACUUGCUCUCUCCCGUCCAUUAAUAAAAGCCGGCUUGAGCGAAGCAUCGGAUCCGACAAACUCGGUCGGUUCUAGACCGGGUUGCCCAAGACUUGCGCGUCUAGAACGAAAGUGACCCUCGCUUCAUUUACCAACUGGCGUACCUGCUUAGUUAUUAGUUUCUGCUGGUGGCUCCUGCUCGGUCCCACAUGGCCCUCUUUUACUGAGUUACGAUCACCGUCUUCACUUGCAUUCCCUCGGCUUCGGAGCUCUCAGCGAUCGCUGGCGCUGCCUCGGCUCCGACUUCAAGUCCUGGCUUCAGCUCAGUUUUUAGGGCUUUUCAGCACAACAUUCGCCUCUAAAACUUGAAAUUGGUUGAGCAAGAAGAUGGGAUACUAAUCCUCACACCCUAGGAAGCAUCAAACUGUAGGGAAACAACAGUGUAGAAUUAAGGUAAAUUGCAAUAGUGUUUCCCCUUGUUUAUCUCUAUUCCUUGCGGAGUUGUAAUUUGCUUACAGCAAUAAAGCUUCAAGUUGAAUUAAUCCCAACUAAUCAGAGUCGGCUACACCGAGUUUAUUGAGCUCUAUGCAAGGCAAUAUCUCUACUAAAAUUUAGCACUUUUUGUGCAUUAACAAAUAUUGUAUCUAUUUGGAUGGGAGGAAAUGAAAGUUAAGUGAAAUAGGUUAGUUGAAGUAAACCUUCUCAAGACCUGAUUGAUCUCCCAAGAUUUGUCGACCACUCAGGUAAGAAAUUAGAUAGAAUACAAAUUUGCUUGCCUAUUUUAUGCUUCCUUUCACCAUGAAUUGUCAUCUUUGAUUUCACCUGUAUACUGUCAAAAAUCGUUUAAACUUUGCUGUAACUAGUGGUUGAUCUAUCUGUGCUUUUUUGUUGCACUUUUCAGUUUGUUCUUUGUCUUCCUCUUUGUUUGCCCAGCCAAAAAAGCGAAACAAGCCUAGCAGAAAUUUUAUUUGUGAUGAACCGAUGUGGUAAUGUAAAACAUCUAGAUAAGCUGAAAUAAUCGUGAACAUAUCAUUUUCGACAUAUUGUUGUUGUGUUUGCCGCUGCCAAAUGGUAUCGGUAGCACCUGUUAGUAGGCUUAUUAUUCCCCCUAGGGAAUCACCACAUACAAGAUAAGCACAUGCUACACAUCUUAUAUGUAAUCCCAUGCAUAUCAAUAUGAACAUCAGUGCACAUGUUAAUAUCUGAUUUCCUAUAAAUUGUUUGGUAUAGUAUUUUUGUUUCAUAAUGGUUAAAUGUACCACCCAGUUAUUUUCAAAUAUAUCUCAUGUUGUAUAUCUUCAUAUUAAUUCAUUUUUUUUUUUGUUUUAAGAUAUGGUAGAACUGACACAAGUUUUUAACCAUAUGAUGGAGGGGUACAUUUUCUGAUGGUGAGAACGAAGUAAUCAUUGAUAGUGUGGAGAAGUAAUGUUUGAAAAACAAUGUGCCAUUAGCAAAGCCAUUAGAUUGUAACUUGCUAAUUGCAACCGAGCUAUGAUACCUGUAUAUUUAUUAUUUAUAUGUUGCAGAAAUAUGAAGCCAUCGAGUUCCAAUGAGUUUGAACAUGUUGUUGAAGCUGUCUGAAGAAACACCAGUUAAUGAGACAUCAAGUAUGUUUGGCAAAAAUCAAACGGUAUUUCUGAAAAAGAAAACAAGUUAGUGAAGUUCUUUGAUGAGUUCACAAAGAUUGGUGUCCUUGAAAUGAAGAUACUUCAAAUGUUUGCUACGUAGUACAAAACAAGGACAGAGUGAAGAUCUUCAUGGCAUGCCCAGUUGAUAGAAGGCUCACCUUGUUGGAAUUCAUGGAGUUGAUAUGAAAAGCAGUAUGCUGAAGGGUCGACAACUUUAGGCUAUUGAUUGUGGCAAAAGGCGAUUCGCUACGGAGGAAGAACUUUAGGCUAUUGAUGAUCAAUAUACCGGUAGUCAAUAUACUUUUCUCGUCAUGUGAUUAAGUAAUAUGACUGAGCUGAUCAGUAUCAAAUGUCUCAGUUGAUAUCGUAUUCUAACUUUGCUUGCUGUUCUGUUCAGCAAUCUGAAUCAACUUGCUGGAUUUUCGCUUCCUGUUCAGUGCCUGAAACAAUUGCUCGCGACCUGUCAGUGUUUUUGUAGCUGUGAAGUGCUUAGCUGUAGCAUAAAUUGUGAUAUAAUUUAGGGUUUGAAUUUCAUUUGAAUGGCCUUCAUGCCUUAGGGCACUCAACUCAUCACAUGUUUAGCUCUUUGUGGCUUACACAUCUGAAUCAACUUGUUGGAUUUUCGCAUC